rnacentral:rRNA from 1 species
UACGGAAGGCAGCAGUGGGGAAUAUUGCACAAUGGGCGAAAGCCUGAUGCAGCUAUGCCGCGUGUAUGAAGAAGGCCUUAGGGUUGUAAAGUACUUUCAUCGGGGAGGAAAAAACAAAACUAAUAAUUUUAUUUCUUGACGUUACCCGAAAAAGAAGCACCGGCUAACUCCGUGCCAGCAGCCGCGGUAAUACGGAGGGUGCUAGCGUUAAUCAGAAUUACUGGGCGUAAAGAGCACGUAGGUGGUUUUUUUAAGUCAGAUGUGAAAUCCCUGGGCUUAACCUGGAACUGCAUUUUGAAACUGAAAUACUAGAGUAUCGUAGAGGGAGGUAGAAUUCUAGGUGUAGCGGUGAAAUGCGUAGAUAUCUGGAGGAAUACCUGUGGCGAAAGCGGCCCCUGGGACAAAGACUGACGCUCAUGUGCGAAAGCGUGGGGAGCAAACAGGGAUUAGAUACC